rnacentral:rRNA from 1 species
AAUCUUGGGAAACUGAGGCUAAUGCCCCAUAGGUUCUGGAUACUGGAAUGUUCCGGAACUGAAAGCUCCGGCGCCUAAGGAUGGGACUGCGGCCCAUCAGGCUGUUGUCAGGGUAAGAACCUGACAAACCUGCAACGGGUAGGGGCCAUGAGAGUGGGAGCCUCGAGAUGCCUUCUGAGACAUGAAGGCAGGGCCUACGGGUCGCAGCAGGCGCGAAAACUUUCCAAUGCGUUAACGCGUGAGAGGGGUAGCCUGAGUGGUCACGUUUUACGUGACCUUUUCUGAAGUCCAAACCGCUUCGGGAAUAAGUAGUGGGCCAGACGGGUGCCAGCCGCCGCGGUAAUACCCGCGCUACGAGUGGUAAUCACUUUUAUUGGGCCUAAAGCGUCCGUAGCCUGCACGUUAAGUCUCUGGUGAAAUCUGGCAGCUGACUGUCAGGCGUGCUGGGAAACUAACGUGCUUGGGACCGGGAGAAGUCUGGGUAUUCCACGUGUAGGGUUAAGUCCUUUAAUCCGUGGAGGACCACCUGUGGCGAAGGCGCCAGACUAGAACGGGUCCGAUGGUGAGGGACGAAAGCGUAGGAGCGAUCGGGAUUAGAUACCCCGGUAGUCUACGCUGUAACGAUGUCCGCUUGAUGUUGCGCGCACUACGUGUGUUCGAGUGUCGGAGUGUAGAUGUAAGCGGACCGCUGGGAGUACGUCCGCAAGGUGAAACUUAG